AUUGAACGCUGGCGGCAGGCCUAACACAUGCAAGUCGAACGAGUGGCGGACGGGUGAGUAAUGUCUGGGAAACUGCCUGAUGGAGGGGGAUAACUACUGGAAACGGUAGCUAAUACCGCAUACCAUCAGAUGUGCCCAGAUGGGAUUAGCUGGUUGGUGGGGUAACGGCUCCCCAAGGCGACGAUCCCUAGCUGGUCUGAGAGGAUGACCAGCCACACUGGAAAUGAGAAACGGUCCAGACUCCGACGGGAGGCAGGAGUGGGGAAUAUGGCACAAUGGGCGCAAGCCUGAUGGAGCGAUGCCGCGGGUAUGAAGAAGGCCUUCGGGUUGUAAAGCACGUUGAGCGGGGAGGCGGUACCCGCAGAAGAAGCACCGGCUAACUCCGUUCCAGCAGCCGCGGUAAUUC
rnacentral:rRNA from 1 species